GACAAGGAUUGCAAGCAGUAUGGGAUAAAAACUAUCAGGUCACUAGCUUUAAUAAACCUACUUGGGACUAUUUUUGAGAAUUCCUAAAAAGAAGAUUAUAGUAGAAAUCUAUAGCUUAAAAAGCCAUACAGG